AUCAACCAACAAAUGUCCCUUAAUCUAAUAAUUAAAUAACCAUAAAAAGCAUAAUCUUUGGUUAAUGAAUCACCUAGGGGAGUACAAAUAAUUUUAGUGGUUUAAUUUGAACGCAUGUAUGCCAUAUGUGCAAUUUCAAAUUACUUUCUAAGCGCCCGUAUAUCAUCGAUCACACUCUGUCAGAGUAUCAAAGUUUUUCUAUUAUAAAGAACUUUUAUCAAUAUACCAUUUUUAGUGGCCAUGUAUGCUGACAAUGGGCUCAUACCCCCACAGUGUUCUUUAUUCAUAUUACCUAUACUUUAACUUCCACUAACUUUCAUUAAAGAAAGAAGUUCCUCUAUAAAUACUUGUAUCUGAGGAUCAUAACCCAAGCUUCUGUGUGUAUAAGUUUUGGAGUAAAACACUGUCAGACCAUGAAGAUCUUCCUCACGUUGCUAGUCGUAUUUGGAUCAUGCUUGUUAAUGUCCAUUGCCACGGACCUUGGUCGGAAAGUAGAUCCAGGGAUCUAUGGAGAAAACAAGAUCGAUGGCAGCGGCUUUGGAGGAAAGCUAAGUAAGGAGUAUCUUGAUAAUGUCCGAGCUGCCAGAAACAACAAUGAUGCAAAUGAAAAUACCAACAGUGAGGAUGAUAAGAAAGUUGAUGAACCUGGUGGUGGGUCAGUGACCACUCCACAUUAUCAACUGACCCCAGAUCAGUAUGAUGGGAAAAGAAGAGGUGUCCCCAGAUCAGGAUAAUUGGAUGAAAAAAAAAAAAAGAUCUGUAUUAUGGGAUAAAGAAAUCAUUAGAAGAAUGUAUGGGAUGCAUAAGAAGUGUGUUUGUAAAAUAAGGACAUAACAUAACAGGCUCGUAUGAACGAGCAUAUGUUAGUUUCCAUCAAGUUUCAAGUAUUUUGUUGUCUGUGGUGUGUUCUAUGUUUAUGUCAUGGGUCACAUGCCAUGUACGAAGUAGCUAUUAUAAAAUAAACAUCCAUGACUGGUUUGGCUUUGUGUGUU